CAAUUCAAAAUUUAAAUUUUCUAAUUGACCAAUCAAAGGCCUUGACACCUAAGCCUAGACACCUAGGAAUCCAUUCCUUAUGGCGUGUGGAUUGAAACCCAUCAAAAGGAAUUCAGCCGCAUGCCAUGAGUUGGAAUCUAGGUGGACUCCUUCUCGGGUACCAACAUCAAUAUGAAGUUCGGGAGACUCCUCAAAUGUCAUCUGAUGUCCAAAUUUCAUGUUCUUAUAGUCAUUGGAAAGCUACUGAUGUCUAAUUUCCAAAAAAAAUUGAAUCAACUUAAUCAGACUUCUAUAGCUUCCAAAAUAUUCAAAAUACCAUAUGGUGUUCAAUCUAUCACGGAUUUCAACUGGAUUUGAACUCUGNNNNNNNNNNNNNNNNNNNNNNNNNNNNNNNNNNNNNNNNNNNNNNUUUUGACAUGUGACCACUUCUAAUUAGCCAUGGACCCAUUCAUGCCUUGGACUCAAUCUAAUUGAUAUUGAAGAGGCUAACCCAUUGUGAAUCAAAUCACUUAUUGCAUGGACUCAAUCUAAUUUCAGCUUGGACUCAACUUUGCUUGGACUAAAAUUCUUUCCACUCCUUCACCCAAUGUCCCACGCCAUUAGAAUGAGGGUGGUGCUUCAUGGUUGGGCUUCAUCUCCACGCUCUCCCCAUGAUUCAAUUGGGCUCAACAUGAUUGAUAUUGGAACUCCUUGAACCCCAUGAAACUUGGUGCACACCCAAGAAGGGAACUCAAUCUCCAUGCCCAAGGGACUAGACCAAAUACUCCACGCCCAAGGAGGAUGCUCCUGCAUCAAUUCCCCCCUUCUAGGAAAAGACUCGACUCCGUCGACUUUCACAACUGAUAGAGCUUGUAGAAGUUCGGGUUCAGCUGUUGGACUUCCUCCAUCUUUAAUCAUGAGCGAUCUGAAAUUAGUCGGUCCUCCAAUAAAAAACUUCUGAUAUCCUCCUCGGUGGGUGGACACUAUCUGAACAACUAGGAUGUCUUCAAUAGUAUCCGUCGGGGCUGAUCGUUGAAGAAGUGAAGAUGGUACAGAUGGGAUGUCUUCAUCUUCAACAUAGUAAGCAUCGUAGGGCUGCAACUCUUCAACAUAUAAGAUGGGGCUAACCUGCAAAUUAUCUGGUAACUCGAGCACAAAGGCCUUGGAUCCCAUCCACUUCAGCACCUUGAAGAAUUCGACUUGGCAAGGUUGAAGCUUUUGAAAAUUUCUGUAUUCAACACUCAACCGCAUCAACACAAAGUUUGCUUCCUUGCGCAGGGUCGGCAAAUAGAACUUAUCCUCCACCAUGGUAACUGUUUUGACAUAGCCAAAGUGACCACCAAGGCCUCCGCCAUAGACCUCUCGAACAAUAUGAGCACAAAGUGAGGUCUCCAAGACACAUAAAAGAAAGCAAUCAUGGGUAGAAAAUUCUGAAUGCUGCCACCGAUCCACUGCUGAAACUUCUGCAUAUAUGGGCUGAAAAUAUACUUCAGAGGGGUACAAAAUUUUUAGAUUAGCAAACCCCAUUACCUCAACAUUCAAAAGAGUUAGAACAUAUGAAUUUUGACUGAGGGCAUCAGCAAUAAAAUCUUUUGCAUGUGGCCCAUGCUUCAGGAUUUGGCGACGAGGCUCCUCGUGUUCUUUUGGGUUCAACCAGCAUGCAGGAAAGUUCGGCAAGCUUGAUCUGGGCACCAAAUCUAUAGUGUGCUGGUUGUCUCUCAUGAGUGGAAGAUCCUUGGGGAGACUCUCAAGGGUUACAUUAGAGGAAUCAUCCAAUAUGGACUUGAAAUCAGGAGGAACAACUUCUGAAAUUUCAGCCCCAAUUUCCCUAGACAUUAGUGCAUACAUGACCCCAAUCUCUCGGCUACAAGCUUCAAACUUUCUCAUGGUUAAAACCCGUUGGAUUAUCAGAUUUUCAAAGGUAAAAUCAAUGAUCUGAAGGGACUUUAACACAACUCUUUUGUUGGCACAAUAUAGAGAAUAACAAUUAGAUCGACCAUCAUACUCGACACUACGAUCAUACAACCAAGGUCUUCCUAAAAGAAGAUGGCACGCUUUCAUGGACAGAACAUCGCACCAUACUUCAUCUCAAAAGUUCUUACCAAGUGAAAAAUUGAUCAAGCAUCUUUGUUUAACAAGGAUGGAGGAGUCUUCGAUCCAACUUACCCGAUACGGCUUUGGAUGCGGUAUCGAUUUCAGAUUCAGUUUUUUCAGCACUUCUUCGAAAAUGAUGUUCAUGCAGCUUCCAUUGUCAAUGAUGAGGUUUAGUGACUUGCUGGCAUACUCGAUGCGAGUUUGGAAGAUAUUGGUGCGCCUCCAAUCUUCCUCCACGUUCUCCUCUUGCUUGCAACCCGUAAGAACCCGCCGCACGACGCACACAGGUAGAUAUGAAGCUUCUAGCUCCACCGCCGGGGCUUCUUCAUCAUGUUCUUCGUUCCCUUCAUUUCCCUUUUCAUCAGUGGGCUGAGAGGGAGGAGUGACUUCAGAGGGUCCUAUGAUCUCAUCCUUCUCACAUACCAAUGCAAAUCAUUGGUCUCGGGUAGGACAAAUAAUGGCGAAAUGGCCUCGCCCGCCUCACUUGUAGCAUUCAACAAGAUUCUUCCCUUGCGGUGUGGAUUGUGGCAUAGGACCUUUACUUUUUUCAUUAGCCCUUGGAGCACCCCUUUCUUGAUAUGUGCUUCUAUUUACAGAGGUUUCAGAUCUGAAAGAAAGGGCGUUAACCUCGAGGAAAUGAAACUCCUCGGUUGGUGCUGCGCUCGAAAAAUCGUCGUACAACCGGUGCUUGCGCAGGGCGUCUUUGUCGUAGCUGCGAUUCAACUCGAAUGACAAUUUGGUAUGCCUCUUCUAGGCUGAAGAUGCGCGUCGCAUUAGCUCCCUCUUGAUGUCAUCCCUUAGCCCGGAUCGGUACCGAGUUAGGGACUGUCGAUCCGUCUCCGUGAGGUUGCUGCGGAUCAUCAACUCAUGGAAUCGGGCUGUAUACUCCUCUACGGAAGAGCUUCCUUGACAAAGUUUCAGAAGUUCUUCGAAGAGUGUCUCCUCAUAAUCAAGGGGAAGAAACUUUUCUUUCAAACGAAGUUUCAUCUCCUCCCAAUCAUUUAUAGGGGGCUGUCGGAGUCGAUGAAGCUUCUCUUCAACGCUAUGCCACCAUAUGCGUGCUUGGCCCUUGAGCUUCAUCUUCACGAAUCGCACCUUGGUUUCAUUGGGCAUGCUGAACCAUUCGAAGUAGUCUUCGAGAGACAUCAACCAAUCCUGGAAGUAGGUUGGGUCUAUGCUUCCACUGUAAUUAGUAACUUCUACACAAACCCGCUUCAUGACAUCGUCGAGAUCAUUGCACUCUCGCUGAUUUUGAUGAACAUAGGGGUUCCUGAAAUUAUUCCCCAUAUGAGGAAUGUUUGGAGGGGGCAUCCGCUGAUCCCUAGGUGGCCUUUGGGGUGAUAGACCCCCGAGGGAGAAUGCUUCAACAUCGGGGUCUCCUCCAAAUGGCACUUCUGAAUUUUCAGGUUGCGCGAGGACAGCAUGUUCAUCUUCAAGAUUGUUUGACUCGGGGAAGAGACGAUCCCAAACAACUUCCACCUUCUGAUUCAAGGCCACCACUUGCCGGAUGAGCUCGGCCAUCAUCUUAGCACGUGUCGUUCAUUUUUGUAGGGGCGACCACUUCUGGUACUCAUGGCGACAAGGAUUCACUCUGAUACCAAUUGACGCAAUCGGGGUGGGCUGCAGAUUUUUUUUCUUCUUUGAGGAUGGCUGAAUCUUUCUUCUUUUUUUUUUACCAAAGCAAUGGCAAUAGAGGCUAGGGUUCUUUGUGGUGGAAGGAAGGAGGAAGAAGAUGGGUUGCUGGAUGGGUGAGAUUGGGUUCGUGGGAUUCAACCAAGUGACUAGAAUUGGGCACCUAAUUGAGUGGCGGCUGAAAUUGGUUUGCACCUAAUGGGUUGGCCGGCUUGGAUUAUUUAGAGUCCUAUUGGGAUUAGGACUCAAGGAAGGACAUGGGAAGGGGUUGUGGCAUGAGGAAUACGGCUGGGGAGGCUGAUGUGGCACACAAGGAGGCGCACCUAAGGGAACAAGGCGUGAAACAAGGAAGAGAGAGAGUGGAUAAGGAUGAAUUAGUUUUGGAAAUCUCAUCCAAACUAAUUCAAACAUGGAAGGCAUGAAGGGGAGGCGUCCCACCUCUUCCUUCAGCCUCUUGGCAUUGUACCAAGCAAGAGACUUGCCCCUCCUCACGUUCACAAGGAAAAAUUUCAAAAUUCAAAACUAAUUUCAUUCAUCAUACCCUCCUUUAUAUAGAAAGAAAGGUUGGUAAAGGAUAAUGACUACACAGAAUUUUAAAUUGGACUCCUAAUCACAUGAGGACUCUUUUAAAAUUCAAAUCUUCUAAUUGACCAAUAAAAUACCUUGACACCUAAGCCUAAACACCUAAGAUCCAUAUCUAUGGCGUGUGGCUUGAAACCCAUCAAAAGGAAUUCAGCCGCAUGCCAUGAGUUGGAAUCUAGGUAGACUCCUUCUCGGGUACCAACAUCAGCAUGAAGUUCGGAAGACUCCUCAAAUAUCAUAUGAUCUCCAAAUUUCAUGUUCUUAUAGUCAUUGGAAAUCUACGGAUGUCUACUUUCCAACAAAAUUUGAAUCAACUUAAUCAGACUUCUGUAGCU
rnacentral:lncRNA from 1 species